ensembl:lncRNA
UUUUCAUGUCAAAAUAAAGGAAUACAAUGUUUUUCAUUAUUCAAACUGAAUUAAAUCUUCAUAACAUUAUCUAACCUCUGUUGUAACAUUAGCAGCCAGCUCCUCAUAGGGUGUCGAGCUUGGAUCUAAGUAGUCUUCUGAAAACGUACGUCUCAUGGUGAAUCUCAAAUCGAUAGUCCCUUCGUUUUCUACAGAGGGCUCGGUAGGCUCUGAGGGCUUGGUAGUUUCUGUUACAGUCGUUGUGACUGAGGAAGAGGUAGAUGCGGGAGCUAUAGCAUGACUUGUUUGUCCAACUAUAGUAGUUGUAGAAAAUGUGGUUCUCAACAUAGAUGUGGGCACUACUCUGAUAGCAGUAGAUCCUUCAGUUGUAGAUAUGAUUCCCGCUUGGCUAGUUGUAGACCUUCUAGUUGUAGCUGAAGAAAUGGAAUUUGUAGAAGUUACAACAAUUGUGCUUGUUCUUCCAGCUGUUCUUGCUGUUAUAGCAGAAGUGGGUCCAACAUUGGAGCUAAUAUUUGUUUUUGUUGUUGGUCCUUCGGUUGUUGACCCUACAUUUGUUGUUGCUGGUCCUGCCAUUGUAGUUGUGGGUCCUGCGGUAGUAGCUCUUGGUCCAGCAAUUGUUGUGUUUGGUUUAGGAGCUGUCAGUGUUGAUACUGCACUUGUUGAUGAUCUUACAGUUGUUGUGUGUACUGCAGUUGUAGCUUUUGGACCAGCAGUUGUUGUUGGUUCAGCAGUUGGGAUUGUUGGUCCUGCAGUCUUUGCUCUGGAUCCCGGGGUAGUAGUUAAUGUUGUUGUUAAUGGUACUGCAGCUGUUGUUGGUAAAGCAGUUGUCGAUAUUGUGCCUGCAGUUGAAGCUCUUGGUCCAGCAAUUGUUGAUGGUUCAGCAGUUCUCGUUGUCAGUCCUGUAGUCGUUGUUUUUGGCACUGCAGUCGUUGGUUCUACAGUUGGUGUUGUUUUUUCAGCAUUUGGCGUUGUUGGUCCUGCAGUUGUUGUUGGUAAAGCAGUUGUCGAUAUUGGGCCUGUAGUUGAAGCUCUUGGUCCAGCAUUUGCUGUUGGUUCAGCAGUUCUCGUUGUCAGUCCUGUAGUCGCUGUUUUUGGCACUGCAGUUGUUGGUCCUACAGUUGGUGUUGUUUUUACAGCAGUUGGCUUUGUUGGUUCAGCAGUUGCCGUUGUUGGUCCUGCAGUUAUUAUCUGUCCUGCAGUUGUAGCUCUUUGACCAGCAGUUGUUGUUGGUUCAGCAGUUGGCGUUGUUGAUCCUGCAGUUCUUGUUGUGGGUCCCAUGAUAAUAGUUAAUGGUCCUGCAGUUGUUGUUAGUGGUCCUGCAGUGGUUGGUUGUCCUGAAGUUGUUGUAGUUGCUCUUUGACCAGCAGUUGUUGUUGGUUCAGCAGUUGGCGUUGUUGAUCCUGCAGUUCUUGUUGUGGGUCCCACAAUAAUAGUUAAUGGUCCUGCAGUUGUUGUUAGUGGUCCUGCAGUGGUUGGUUGU